AUUCUCUGCGUGGUCACAUCACCAAUGCAGGCCCACACCAAGUUUUCUGUUCUCGUGGUUGGCGUGGUUGGUGCCAACUGAAUCAUUUGGUUUCUCAGUGGAGUUCCUGCCCAAAAUAAAUGAAUAUGAAAACGAAAGGAGCCAAAAGGAUGGUUUUGGUCAACAUUUGGAGUGUGUGUUGGACUUGUUAAUGGACAUAUGGAAUUGCAGCAGAAUUCUCAAAAGUAAAUGACAAGAGGAUCUCACCAUUAUCUUGAAUGAUACCAUCAUGAAUGAGCUUUGGGAUGCUGAAUACCAAGGCCAACAGUGCAGCUGCUGCAGGCCUAAAGGCAGCUCGGCAGAUUUUCAUUUUCUCUGCAACAUCCAAGGCCCAAUCACAGCUCUCAUCAGGAAUGACACAAACAAUUUUGUCACAUUUGACUUGGUUGAUCUUUUUUUAUCAGCUCCUCCAGCUUCCCAGGCAUGACACUUAGAAUUGCUUCGCAUAGCUUUCCCAGAUCAUUCCUGUUCUCCCAAGCCUCCAUGCCAUCUGGGAUCGAAACCAGAUUAAUCUGAGUCCCUGUAUCACUUGUUUCUCCCAUUGCAUUCAUGACCCGCUUGUGAUUAUACUCUGUAUUCACGAAUGUGACUUUGAAGCCAUGAUUAAUUAGGCAUUUUUAGAGCUCCAUCAAGGGAAUCACAUGGCCUUGUGCCGGGUAAGAUGUAGUUUUGAUUAAGGAACUGGUCAGCAAAGUAAGGCCAGCACAAGAAAGGAAUCCCAUUGCUUAAUCCUUCCAUAGUGGAGUUCCAGCCACAAUGGCUCAGGAAGCAGGCAAUGGAUGGAUGAGAGAGAACCUUCUGUUGAGGAAUGGUCUUUUGGAGAGUUCUAAACCCAAGGCCAAUUCUCGAAGCUGUGCUGGAUCAAAAAUUGUGAAACUGCCAAAUGCAACAUAGACGACCGACUGUGGAGGCUGUUGAUCAAGCCAUUUCAAACAGAUCGAGUCUUCUGGCCUGAAGUUUCCUGCAGAGUCUCGUAGCCUGUUGCUUGCCAGAAGUGGACCUAUAGGGUCAUGUUGCCAAGGCAGGUCCACACAAAGUUUUCUGUAUUCAUGGCAGGCAUAUCAGACAACUGUUUCUUCAUUGGAGUUCCUGCAAAGGAAAUCUCAGUUGUAACUAAAUACCAUAUUUUAUCAGCUGCUACUAAUUGUGUUUACAAUAAAGCUUUUUCCUAUAUGAAAGUUAUAGUUAGUAUAUAUUGAUUAUAUAAGCUAGAUCACUUUCUAAGAGCCAAAGGGAUUCAAAAGAUACGCAUGUUUCAUCUGUUUGUACAGUCUCCUUAUGUUCUUGUGAAAGAAGCUAACGCAGUAUAAGAAAAAGCUAAGUUUGAAAAGGUUCUAACCAUCAU